GACGAACGCUGGCGGCGUGCUUAACACAUGCAAGUCGAGCGGACGGAGGAACUUCGGUUCCGAAGUUAGCGGCGGACGGGUGAGUAACGCGUGAACAAUCUGUCCCAGACAGGGGGAUAACACAUCGAAAGGUGUGCUAAUACCGCAUAAGCGCACAGCAUCGCAUGAUGCAGUGUGAAAAACUCCGGUGGUGUGAGAUGGACCCGCGUUGGAUUAGCUAGUUGGCAGGGCAGCGGCCUACCAAGGCGACGAUCCAUAGCCGGCCUGAGAGGGUGAACGGCCACAUUGGGACUGAGACACGGCCCAG
rnacentral:rRNA from 1 species